rnacentral:rRNA from 1 species
GACGAACGCUGGCGGCGUGCUUAACACAUGCAAGUCGAACGGAAAGGCCCCCACUUUUUUGGUGGGGGUGCUCGAGUGGCGAACGGGUGAGUAACACGUGGGUGAUCUGCCCUGUACUUCGGGAUAAGCUUGGGAAACUGGGUCUAAUACCGGAUAGGACCAUGGUUUAGUGUCUCAUGGUGGAAAAAUUAUUGUUUUGGUGCAGGAUGAGCUCGCGGCCUAUCAGCUUGUUGGUGGGGUAAUGGCCUACCAAGGCGUCGACGGGUAGCCGGCCUGAGAGGGUGGACGGCCACAUUGGGACUGAGAUACGGCCCAGACUCCUACGGGAGGCAGCAGUGGGGAAUAUUGCACAAUGGGCGCAAGCCUGAUGCAGCGACGCCGCGUGGGGGAUGACGGCCUUCGGGUUGUAAACUCCUUUCGUUAGGGACGAAGCCGCACCUUUUUUGGGUGUGGUGACGGUACCUUUGUUAAGAAGCACCGGCUAACUACGU